GCUGGCGGCGUGCCUAAUACAUGCAAGUCGAGCGAAUCGAUGGGAGCUUGCUCCCUGAGAUUAGCGGCGGACGGGUGAGUAACACGUGGGCAACCUGCCUAUAAGACUGGGAUAACUUCGGGAAACCGGAGCUAAUACCGGAUACGUUCUUUUCUCGCAUGAGAGAAGAUGGAAAGACGGUUUACGCUGUCACUUAUAGAUGGGCCCGCGGCGCAUUAGCUAGUUGGUGAGGUAAUGGCUCACCAAGGCGACGAUGCGUAGCCGACCUGAGAGGGUGAUCGGCCACACUGGGACUGAGACACGGCCCAGACUCCUACGGGAGGCAGCAGUAGGGAAUCUUCCGCAAUGGACGAAAGUCUGACGGAUCAUCGCCGCGUGAACGAAGAAUGCCUUCGGGUCGUAAAG
rnacentral:rRNA from 1 species